CAGUAGCCGCGGGAACACGUAGGGUGCAAGCGUUAAUCGGAAUUACUGGGCGUAAAGCGUGCGCAGGCGGUCCGCUAAGACAGAUGUGAAAUCCCCGGGCUUAACCUGGGAACUGCAUUUGUGACUGGCGGGCUAGAGUAUGGCAGAGGGGGGUAGAAUUCCACGUGUAGCAGUGAAAUGCGUAGAGAUGUGGAGGAAUACCGAUGGCGAAGGCAGCCCCCUGGGCCAAUACUGACGCUCAUGCACGAAAGCGUGGGGAGCAAACAGGAUUAGAUACCCCUGUAGUCCCUGUCUCUUAUAC
rnacentral:rRNA from 1 species